UUUGCCUGUAGUGCUCUGCGAGGUGCUGCAGACAUGACUGAUUUUCAGUGCCAAGAAUGGAAGAAUGAAGGCUGUUCACAUCAGUCAAAAAGGUGGUCAUUUAAGCCUUCACUGCACAAGGUGUUUCUACUGUACAAUUUCUCAUUGAAAACUGCCUCAGCAUUUUUUAAGAAGACAUCACUUCCCCCUUGGGGAAGAAAGAACUCAAUGACUUGAAGAAACUGAUGCUUCAGGUACCUUGAAAAAUUCAGCUGGUUUUGAUGAGAAACAGUCAAUGGGGCUGUUAGGGGUCCUGGCGGAUGCUUAGGCAGUGGCUGUCCUGGAUUCCAGGGAAUGCCCCAAACCCAGUGAUGCAGGACCCAGGACUCCAUCUGCUCAUUCUUCAUAAGGUUGGCUCACAGGUCAUCUGCUGAGAAGGUCAUCUUCUCCGUCUUCACUGGGCUCACUGAAUGAGGACAUUCCAAGAUCCCAGCUCAUCUCAUUUGAGCUUUCCUUUUCCUAAUCCCAUGCAUCUGUGUUUGAGAAAAUCUUCCCAAGUGAUAGAUCUUCUAUUUUCCGAUUUCUUCCAUGUUGUAUUACUUUUUUUAUUAAUAAUAAUAAAUACACAUAUUUUUGGUGUGUA
rnacentral:lncRNA from 1 species